AUUGAACGCUGGCGGCGGGCCUAACACAUGCAAGUCGAGCGGUAGCACAGGGAGCUUGCUCCUGGGUGACGAGCGGCGGACGGGUGAGUAAUGUCUGGGAAACUGCCUGAUGGUGGGGGAUAACUACUGGAAACGGUAGCUAAUACCGCAUAACGUCGCGAGACCAAAGAGGGGGACCUUCGGGCCUCUUGCCAUCAGAUGUGCCCAGAUGGGAUUAGCUAGUAGGUGGGGUAACGGCUCACCUAGGCGACGAUCCCUAGCUGGUCUGAGAGGGUGACCAGCCAAACUGGAACUGAGACACGGUCCAGACUCCUACGGGAGGCAGCAGUGGGGAAUAUUGCACAAUGGGCGCAAGCCUGAUGCAGCCAUGCCGCAUGUAUGAAGAAGGCCUUCGGGUUGUAAAGUACUUUCAGCGGGGAGGAAGGUGUUGAGGUUAAUAACCUCAGCAAUUGACGUUACCCGCAGAAGAAGCACCGGCUAACUCCGUGCCAGCAGCCGCGGUAA
rnacentral:rRNA from 1 species